UAGAGUUUGAUCAUGGCUCAGAGCGAACGCUUGCGGCAGGCCUAACACAUGCAAGUCGAACGAACUCUUCGCAGUUAGUGGCGGACGGGUGAGUAACACGUGGGAACGUGCCUUUAGGUUCGGAAUAACUCAGGGAAACUUGUGCUAAUACCGAAUGUGCCCUUCGGGGGAAAGAUUUAUCGCCUUUAGAGCGGCCCGCGUCUGAUUAGCUAGUUGGUGAGGUAAAGGCUCACCAAGGCUACGAUCAGUAGCUGGUCUGAGAGGAUGACCAGCCACAUUGGGACUGAGACACGGCCCAAACUCCUACGGGAGGCAGCAGUGGGGAAUCUUGCGCAAUGGGCGAAAGCCUGACGCAGCCAUGCCGCGUGGAUGAUGAAGGUCUUAGGAUUGUAAAAUCCUUUCACCGGUGAAGAUAAUGACUGUAGCCGGAGAAGAAGCCCCGGCUAACUUCGUGCCAGCAGCCGCGGUAAUA
rnacentral:rRNA from 1 species